CGUUUUUCACCGUAAUUUAUUCAUAUUUCUCUUGAGUCCAGUUAAAAGUCUCAUUCCUUACAGAGAAGGAAAGUUAGCAAAGAGCUUGAAGAAGUUGAUAAUGGAGGUGUUAAAGUGAUUUAUUAUGUGCGCCAACUGAUAUAGUAUAAUUUGCUAAACCUAAGUUCCAAAAUGGUUAUUCGUAUUUCAUUUGCAGUCAAUUUGUAAACUUGAGGUUUGCCCCCAUGAAACUCUAUAUCUGUUUGAAGAUUAGAGUUUGAACUCUUAUUGUCCUUUAAUGUUCAGAAGCAAGCAGGCUAGUUUCUUUAUUACCUGCUUCAAGAUUGAACAGAUAACCAACAAAGUUAAAACAAGAUAUAGUAGAGAAGUGUGCUAUGAAGGAGAAAAUUGAAGGAGAUACAAGUUAUACAUUGGAACGAAUGAGAUUUCAAUUGUCGUCACAAAACCUGCCAUAUUUUUUUUCCUCAUGAUAUGGGUUUAUUGUAUUGCUUUUGGAUAAUUUGGAUCUUUAUUAUAGUACAUGUGGAUAUUCAUA